UUUACAGUAGAUCCAGACCAAUGCAAGAUGUUGUGAAAAAGCUAAAAAUGUGAGAAAAAAGCUCUAUUCAACUUCCAGCUUCAUGAAAUGAGACCAAACAAUUUGUGCAAGUUACUAACUCAUAAUCUAAUGCAUAUAAUAUGGGCCUUGGUAGUCUCAAGAUUUUGGAAUUUAAAUUUCUUGACCCCAAGAUGACUUCCACACAUGAAAUCAUGAUCAGGGUCAUCAAUUUGUACUGAUUAUUUUGCUUCAUUUUGUGGGUCAGGAAAUGGAAGAGAAUUAAACCCUAUAGCUACCUUUAAAGUUCAGCUGUUAAGUACUGUAAAACUAGGCCUAUUAUAGGCUAGUUCCUGACACAAGAAAUGAGGCUAAAUAAUUGCUGUAUAUUAUAUACGAUAUAAAAGAUUUUCAAUUCAAAGACACAAAACUAGUCUAUAUUGACACAAUGAAUAUUUAUUAUUAUAGGCAUUAUUAUUUAGCAAUACCUUUGCCUCAUUUUCUGAAGCAAGAGAAAAAAAUGGUUUCACACCGUGAGCUGACGACAAACGAAGCAACUUGCAAGACGUCAAAUUAGUGGCACAAUGGCUUCCUUCCUCUUUCCCGUCGUUCUGCUUCGAGGCUGAGGUCAGGAGAGACUUCUUCCAAAUGUGUCGGGAGUUGAGGGUAGAAGGUUUAAUGGACGUCUGUCUGUUGAAAGGGAAAGGAGAAGUAAUGAAGAGGGGGACAGAUGCCUAUACCACCAGCAUGUGGUCUUCCUCCUCCUCCUCUCAUUGGUAGGAUUCAAUUCGGCUCCUUUACUCUCUUAUUUUAUGGCUUUGUUGUUACUCUAUAUUUAAGCCUUAUUCCAGGCGAGGGCGGUAGGGCCAAGCGCCCCUUCCCCUUCAUCCCCAUUCAGGUAAGGUCCUUUAACGUGGUAGGUAAGGUGAGGCAAAAGGAGGAGGAGGAGGGAGGAGGUCUCGUGAGGUCUUCCGGCUGCUGGAAUGCCUCCUCCUUCCUCCCUCUGUGGUCAGGGGGGAGGGAGCCCCUAGGCCACACCCCAAAGUGACCCCUCCCCCCAUCUACAUCGUCUCGCGGUUUGAUGCCUAACAGAGGCCUGAUAUCUAUAAUAACGUUUUUUGUAUGAUGUAUUAAUAAACUGAGAAGCCUUUCAUCCUAGAUUCCUCCACUGAACUCUCGUUGUUUUCAGGACUAUAAAAUGGCCUAUGAUCUUUUUAUGUCUUUUUUGUUUUAAAUUGGUCUGGCUUUCAUUUAUGCAUUUAAUUGAUAGGCCAUUUAUAGAUACUCCCCCCCCCCCCUCUUUAUCCUGCCAUUCAGAGGACCUCAGAGGAAAACCGAUGUUUUUGAGAGGGGGUAGGGGUUGGAAUACGUGUAAGUCUCCUGACAGGUCCCCGAUGCUGCUUCUGCAAGUUGUGGUUCUGAUUUCAUUAAUGAAGGGAAGUGACAUAUUGGGUGAAGUUAGUGAUUGGAAGCUGUUGCAGGUACUACUCAGUCAACCGAAGAAGUGCUGUGGAAGUCUUUUGGGUGAUUUGAUUGUUAUUCUCACUCUCAAGAGACUGUCAUGGUGUUUGCUUUCAAGAAAGUCAACCAUGUCCUCGUGAAGUAAUGUCACUCGUGCCAAAGUAACUGGAACUCUUGUCUGUGUGAAUGAUAGACAUCCUCAGCUGUAAUGCUAAAGAUGUCUGUCUACUUCUCAUUGAAGUAAAAGCUCUUUUAUAAUUGUAGAAUGUAUCUAUAUUAAAAGCUAACACUUUGUACUUGUAUUGUAAUGACCAAGACUUGUAAUGCUGACUGAAAGUUAUUUUACAGGUUGUAUCAUUCAUCAUGUAUUCAGAAGUGUUGAAGAUUAUUAGCACCAAAAGCCAUGGUCCCUGAAGUAAAGGAACCCCUUUGUGUGAAUCUGAAGUCUGGAGAAGUGGACAGAGGAGCAAAGUCUUGUAAAGCAGAAGGGGAAGAGGUGUCACCCUGAAUUAUUAUCAACAAUGACAAGAAGAGGUACUUUAUUCACCCCAGGAAUUCCCUCUCGGCUUCCAUAGGAGAUGUAAGUGAGCAGUCAUUGCCUGGUCAACCACCAGGAAGACCUCCUACCUGUCCUUAUGAAUGAAGAAUCCUCUUUGGAUGAUAAGCCAACCAACCAACCAAGUGCAUCUGGGCGUUAAUGUAAGAAUGACUUCAAUAGAGAUUAUGAACUGCAGCUUUGCUUAGAAAUUCAACUUGCAUUCUCUGGCACUUCAUGGCUUCAUAUGUCAUCCAGGUGAAUUAUGUGCUCACUUCUUUACAAAGAGAUUAGUAUUAACUUUUAUGACAUAAUAAUUUUGCAAAAGGGAAUGUUCUUAGCUUAUAGAAUGAAUUCUUUGAAGAGUCUCUUUAAUAUUAUAAGAGCUGAUGAAAGCCAACUGAGUUCCUGCCCUUUACUGCAGGUGUCAGAUGCAACGUGCAGGGUGUCAGGGUCAUUGCCAGAGGAAGUCUUGUUUGUUUGCUAUUGGAAGUGCUGCUCUCAGAGAAUGUUCCUUAAAUCAUUUCAUACAACAGGAUUUUGACAGUGUUUCCAUUUAAGUGACUGACUAACAAAGAUGAAUCCUACAAUUAUAAAGCUUUGUAUGAGUUCCGUCUAUCUGCAAGCAAAAUUUGGGUUUAGAUUGAAGUCUGAGGAUGGUUUGGCAAACACUAGAGUGCUUUCUUAACCCAAGUAGACAAGUUGCAUGAUGUCCACUUUAAGUGAGAAUAACGAAGGUUAACUUGGAAGAGGAG